rnacentral:rRNA from 1 species
GAUUAACGCUGGCGGCGUGCUUAACACAUGCAAGUCGAACGAUGAAGCCCAGCUUGCUGGGUGGAUUAGUGGCGAACGGGUGAGUAACACGUGAGUAACCUGCCCUUAACUCUGGGAUAAGCCUGGGAAACUGGGUCUAAUACCGGAUAGGAGCGCCUACCGCAUGGUGGGUGUUGGAAAGAUUUAUCGGUUUUGGUUGGACUCGCGGCCUAUCAGCUUGUUGGUGAGGUAAUGGCUCACCAAGGCGACGACGGGUAGCCGGCCUGAGAGGGUGACCGGCCACACUGGGACUGAGACACGGCCCAGACUCCUACGGGAGGCAGCAGUGGGGAAUAUUGCACAAUGGGCGAAAGCCUGAUGCAGCGACGCCGCGUGAGGGAUGACGGCCUUCGGGUUGUAAACCUCUUUCAGUAGGGAAGAAGCGAAAGUGACGGUACCUGCAGAAGAAGCACCGGCUAACUACGUG